GAUGAACGCUGGCGGCGUGCCUAACACAUGCAAGUCGAGCGAACAGAUGAGGAUCUUGCUUCUCUUACGUUAGGGGCGGAUGGGUGAGUAACACGUAGAUAACCUGCAUUUAAGACUGGGAUAACUUCGCGAAACCGAAGCUCAUACCGGAUAAUAUAUUGAACCGUAUGGUUCAAUAGUGAAAGACGGUUUGGCUGUCCCUUAUACAUGGAUCCUCGCCGCAUUAGUUAGUUGCUAGGGUAAAGGCUUACCAAGGCGACGAUGAGUAGCCGACCUGAGAGGAUGAUCAGGCACACUGGAACUGAGACACGGUCCAGACUCCUACGGGAGGCAGCAGUAGGGAAUAUUGCGCAAUGGGCGAAAGCCUGACGGAGCCAGGCCGCGUGAGUGAAGAAGGUCUUCGGAUCGUAAAACUCUGUUAUUAGGGAGGAACAGCUGUAUGAUUAACUCUGGCCGUCUUGACGUUACCUACACAGUAAGCCCCGGCUAACUACGUG
rnacentral:rRNA from 1 species